rnacentral:rRNA from 1 species
UUUUACGGAGAGUUUGAUCCUGGCUCAGGACGAACGCUGGCGGCGUGCUUAACACAUGCAAGUCGAACGAUGAUGCCCAGCUUGCUGGGUGGAUUAGUGGCGAACGGGUGAGUAACACGUGAGUAACCUGCCCCUGACUCUGGGAUAAGCGUUGGAAACGACGUCUAAUACUGGAUAUGAUCACUGGCCGCAUGGUCUGGUGGUGGAAAGAUUUUUUGGUUGGGGAUGGACUCGCGGCCUAUCAGCUUGUUGGUGAGGUAAUGGCUCACCAAGGCGACGACGGGUAGCCGGCCUGAGAGGGUGACCGGCCACACUGGGACUGAGACACGGCCCAGACUCCUACGGGAGGCAGCAGUGGGGAAUAUUGCACAAUGGGCGAAAGCCUGAUGCAGCAACGCCGCGUGAGGGAUGACGGCCUUCGGGUUGUAAACCUCUUUUAGUAGGGAAGAAGCGAAAGUGACGGUACCUGCAGAAAAAGCACCGGCUAACUACGUGCCAGCAGCCGCGGUAAUACGUAGGGUGCAAGCGUUGUCCGGAAUUAUUGGGCGUAAAGAGCUCGUAGGCGGUUUGUCGCGUCUGCUGUGAAAUCCCGAGGCUCAACCUCGGGCUUGCAGUGGGUACGGGCAGACUAGAGUGCGGUAGGGGAGAUUGGAAUUCCUGGUGUAGCGGUGGAAUGCGCAGAUAUCAGGAGGAACACCGAUGGCGAAGGCAGAUCUCUGGGCCGUAACUGACGCUGAGGAGCGAAAGCAUGGGGAGCGAACAGGAUUAGAUACCCUGGUAGUCCAUGCCGUAAACGUUGGGCGCUAGAUGUAGGGACCUUUCCACGGUUUCUGUGUCGUAGCUAACGCAUUAAGCGCCCCGCCUGGGGAGUACGGCCGCAAGGCUAAAACUCAAAGGAAUUGACGGGGGCCCGCACAAGCGGCGGAGCAUGCGGAUUAAUUCGAUGCAACGCGAAGAACCUUACCAAGGCUUGACAUACACCGGAAACGGCCAGAGAUGGUCGCCCCCUUGUGGUCGGUGUACAGGUGGUGCAUGGUUGUCGUCAGCUCGUGUCGUGAGAUGUUGGGUUAAGUCCCGCAACGAGCGCAACCCUCGUUCUAUGUUGCCAGCGGGUUAUGCCGGGGACUCAUAGGAGACUGCCGGGGUCAACUCGGAGGAAGGUGGGGAUGACGUCAAAUCAUCAUGCCCCUUAUGUCUUGGGCUUCACGCAUGCUACAAUGGCCGGUACAAAGGGCUGCGAUACCGUAAGGUGGAGCGAAUCCCAAAAAGCCGGUCUCAGUUCGGAUUGAGGUCUGCAACUCGACCUCAUGAAGUCGGAGUCGCUAGUAAUCGCAGAUCAGCAACGCUGCGGUGAAUACGUUCCCGGGCCUUGUACACACCGCCCGUCAAGUCAUGAAAGUCGGUAACACCCGAAGCCGGUGGCCUAACCCUUGUGGAAGGAGCCGUCGAAGGUGGGAUCGGUGAUUAGGACUAAGUCGUAACAAGGUAGCCGUACCGGAAGGUGCGGCUGGAUCACCUCCUUUCUAAGGAGCAUCUGG